UACGUAGGUGGCAAGCGUUGUUCGGAAUUAUUGGGCGUAAAGGGCGCGUAGGCGGUUUGUUAAGUCGGCUGUGAAAGCCUGGGGCUCAACCCCAGAGGGUCGGCCGAUACUGGCAAACUAGAGUACGGAAGAGGUAGCUGGAAUUCCCGGUGUAGCGGUGAAAUGCGUAGAUAUCUGGAGGAACACCGGUGGCGAAGGCGGUUCUCUGGGCCUUACCUGACGCUGAGGAGCGAAAGCGUGGGGAGCGAACAGG
rnacentral:rRNA from 1 species